rnacentral:rRNA from 1 species
GGGCCCGCACAAGCGGUGGAGUAUGUGGUUUAAUUCGAUGCAACGCGAAGAACCUUACCAGGGCUUAAAUGUAACGGGACAGAUCUAGAGAUAGAUCCUUCUUCGGACUCAUUACAAGGUGCUGCAUGGUUGUCGUCAGCUCGUGCCGUGAGGUGUCAGGUUAAGUCCUAUAACGAGCGCAACCCCCAUCGUUAGUUGCCAACGAGUAAUGUCGGGAACUCUAACGAAACUGCCGGUGCAAACCGUGAGGAAGGUGGGGAUGACGUCAAAUCAUCACGGCCCUUACGUCCUGGGCUACACACGUGCUACAAUGGUCGGUACAGAGAGCAGCCACUACGCGAGUAGGAGCAAAUCCCAUAAACCGUGGCUCAGUUCAGAUCGUAGGCUGCAACUCGCCUACGUGAAGGCGGAAUCGCUAGUAAUCGCAGGUC